rnacentral:rRNA from 1 species
AUAUCAAUAAGCGGAGGAAAAGAAACCAACAGGGAUUGCCCUAGUAACGGCGAGUGAAGCGGCAACAGCUCAAAUUUGAAAUCUGGCCUUAGUCGGUCAGUUGUAAUUUGUAGAGGAUGCUUUUGGUGCGGCGCUUUCUGAGUUCCCUGGAACGGGACGCCAUAGAGGGUGAGAGCCCCGUAUAGUAGUGGACUGAC